ACAGUCAACUCAUCACGAAAUUUGUUGCAAACUUACGUACGAAACUGGUAACGUAUCUGUAGUGGAGAACGAUGCGUCCACGAGAGCCGCAGAGCUAUGUAUCAAAUUUUGAUCCAGCUGUACACAAUUUUAGAGCGUGGUAUAGUGAAUCAGGAUAUCGAGGCGACAUCAUAUGUAACGAGUGUUGUUGAUUUUCCAAAAU
rnacentral:misc_RNA from 1 species